rnacentral:rRNA from 1 species
AACGAACGCUGGCGGCAGGCCUAACACAUGCAAGUCGAACGAACUCUUCGGAGUGAGUGGCGCACGGGUGCGUAACACGUGGGAAUAUACCCUAGAGUAAGGAAUAACUGCUGGAAACGGUAGCUAAUACCUUAUAAUGACUUCGGUCCAAAGAUUUUUCGCUCUAGGAUUAGCCCGCGCCUGAUUAGAUUGUUGGUGAGGUAACGGCUCACCAAGUCUACGAUCAGUAGGGGGUCUGAGAGGAUGAUCCCCCACACUGGAACUGAGACACGGUCCAGACUCCUACGGGAGGCAGCAGUGAGGAAUAUUGCGCAAUGGAGGAAACUCUGACGCAGCCAUGCCGCGUGAGUGAAGAAGGCCUUAGGGUUGUAAAGCUCUUUCAAUAGUGAAGAUAAUGACGGUAACUAUAGAAGAAGCCCCGGCUAAAUUCG